CUCUUCGGGGAUGAUUAAACCGGCGCACGGGUGAGUAACACGUGAGUGACCUGCCUUUUAGACUGGAACAACUUACCGAAAGGUGAGCUAAUGCCGGAUGAGUUAUAUAAGUGCAUGUUUAUAUAGGAAAAGUUGGGGAGACCUGACGCUGAAAGAUGGACUCGCGUCCCAUUAGCUAGUUGGUAGGGUAAUGGCCUACCAAGGCGACGAUGGGUAGCCGGCCUGAGAGGGUGGCCGGCCACACUGGGACUGAGACACGGCCCAGACUCCUACGGGAGGCAGCAGUGGGGAAUUUUGCGCAAUGCUCGUAAGAGUGACGCAGCGACGCCGCGUGAAUGACGAAGGCCUUCGGGUCGUAAAGUUCUUUCGACAGGGAAGAAAAUGCCUAUAAGUAACUGUGUAUGUAUUGACGGUACCUGUAUAAGCAGCCCCGGCUAACUCCGUGCCAGCAGCCGCGGUAAUACGGAGGGGGCGAGCGUUGUUCGGAGUGACUGGGCGUAAAGAGCACGUAGGCGGUGUUGUAAGUCAUUAGUCAAAGACUAGAGCUCAACUUUAGUAAGGCUAGUGAUACUAUAAUACUAGAGUAUCAGAGAGGAUUGCAGAAUUCCUGGUGUAGCGGUGAAGUGCGUAGAUAUCAGGAGGAAUACCGUUAGCGAAGGCGGCAAUCUGGCUGGAAACUGACGCUGAGGUGCGAAAGCGUGGGUAGCAAACAGGAUUAGAUACCCUGGUAGUCCACGCUGUAAACGAUGGAUGCUAGGUGUUGGGCUUUUAAGUUCAGUGCCGCAGCAAACGCGAUAAGCAUCCCGCCUGGGGAGUACGUUUG
rnacentral:rRNA from 1 species